rnacentral:rRNA from 1 species
AUUGAACGCUGGCGGCAGGCCUAACACAUGCAAGUCGAGCGGAUGAAGGGAGCUUGCUCCUGGAUUCAGCGGCGGACGGGUGAGUAAUGCCUGGGAAUCUGCCUGGUAGUGGGGGAUAACGUCCGGAAACGGGCGCUAAUACCGCAUACGUCCUGAGGGAGAAAGUGGGGGAUCUUCGGACCUCACGCUAUCAGAUGAGCCUAGGUCGGAUUAGCUAGUUGGUGGGGUAAAGGCCUACCAAGGCGACGAUCCGUAACUGGUCUGAGAGGAUGAUCAGUCACACUGGAACUGAGACACGGUCCAGACUCCUACGGGAGGCAGCAGUGGAGAAUAUUGGACAAUGGGCGAAAGCCUGAUCCAGCCAUGCCGCGUGUGUGAAGAAGGUCUUCGGAUUGUAAAGCACUUUAAGUUGGGAGGAAGGGCAGUAAGUUAAUACCUUGCUGUUUUGACGUUACCAACAGAAUAAGCACCGGCUAACUUCGUG